GAGCCUUCAGGGUAGUUGGGACAUAAUUACAUUUUCAUCAAAUCUGCUUCAUUCAAAGGCUAAAACAACCUUUCUUCCUAACUGCUAGCCCUGCAAACUCAGCCUGGAUUUGAAAGUCGAGUUGGGUUCUUUCUGUCUUGUGUGUUGUCACACCAGGCCAUCUCUGCCUCAUUACAUCUACCCAGCCCCAUCAUCUCCUGAGCAGUUUGGAACUAAGUGGCAGAGACCCUAAAACAGAACGUCUCCUGGAUUUCUGUUCCUCUUGGAAGGUGGUAUUCCCCCAACCAUCUCACCCGGCAAGCUGCCUCUGAUGUGUUGGCUGUGAUUAUGAAAUGGAGGAUUUGGGGAGGUACUGUACAAAUGGGCUCUUCCCUGCAUUGUGCACAAAUUUCUGCAGCAUCUCUGGCAAUCAACUUGGAACACAGAUCUCCCUGCAAUGGUGAGACUAUGCCAAUAUUCUGAUAUUAGGUUGCCUGCUACUGCCAUCCUGGCUGAACUCCC